GGUUCCAUAGCGUAGCGGUUAGCACGUUUGCUUUACAUGCAGAAGAUCCUGGGUUCGCGCCCCAGUGGAGCCA
rnacentral:tRNA from 1 species